GGGAUUAGAUACCCCACUAUGCUUAGCCCUAAACCUAGAUGUUGAAUAUACAAGCACAUCCGCCAGGGUACUACAAGCGCUAGCUUAAAACCCAAAGGACUUGACGGUGUCUCAGACCCACCUAGAGGAGCCUGUUCUAAAACCGAUAAUCCCCGUUAAACCUCACCACCCCUUGUUUUCCCCGCCUAUAUACCGCCGUCGCAAGCUUACCCUGUGAAGGACUAAUAGUAAGCAAAAUGGGUAAAUCCCAAAACGUCAGGUCGAGGUGUAGCUUACGAGGUGGGAAGAAAUGGGCUACAUUUUCUAUACCAGAAUAAUACGAACAGCACCAUGAAACUGGUGCUAGAAGGUGGAUUUAGUAGUAAAAAACAAAUAGAGAGUCUUUUUGAACUAGGCUCUGAGACGCGCACACACCGCCC
rnacentral:rRNA from 1 species